GCCCUAACUGGGAUUAUAACACAGGAGAAGGCCUGGAUCCUCAGUCUAAGAAACCUUUGUCCCAAGGUGGCUAAGAGUUUGAGGGACAUGUCAGAAGUAUGGCUGAUGGACCAGAUGUGAUGGGAAGGGCCGGACUCACCCCAGGAACACCUCCUCCAACAUGUUAGCAGGACAGCUAAGUGGACACAGGUUCCAUGAGAAAUCUUUGGGAGUGGCUGGUUGGAGCAUAUGUGCGGAUGGAUUGAGCAACCUACGUAACACUCCGGCCAAA